rnacentral:lncRNA from 1 species
UCAGCCGGCUAAGACGGGGGCUGAGUUUGGCAUAGAAAGAUUUGAACUUUGAUCCCAAUCCUGUUACAGCUGCGUGUUCCUGGCAGAUCAACUUCCGCUGAGCCCCAGUGAAAUCCCAUAAUAUAAUGACAGCAGGGGCCAGCGCUUAGUAGGGCUGACCUUUUUUUUUUCUUUCUUUCUUUCCAUGUCCCACCUCUAGCAGGAUCCCUGCUUGACUCCUUGGAGGGAGGCCAUCAUGAAGAGAUUUAUACAUUAAACUUGAAAUGGGCACUGUCAGGUACCAGCCUCCAGAGCCUUGUAAAGACCUCAACCUAGAGACAUGGCCCAGAAAUAUUUGGGGUCUGCCUGGGCCUUACCGUCUGCCCUGCACUGUUCCCCGCAACUGAAGGUGUAUACUCCUUCACUUCUUGGCAAGUGAACGGCUUGAGCCUCCCCAGGUAUGUCCCAGUGUUCUAUGCUGCAGAGCCCCUCUGUACUGGCUGUAGAUACCCUUAGUCUGGAAUCACCUCCCCUCCCCCUUCCAAAUGUACUCAGACCCAAACUUUGGGGAAGGCUUCCUUCUCAGACUGCCCAUUGGCCUCUUGAACCAUUAUGAAGGUCUCCCAGCAGCAGUGGUGUACACCUGUUCCCAUGGAGUACACCUGGGUUGUGGCUUCCAUCUUCACUUUCCAGGAGCAGACACAAGGCAGGACUGAAGGGACCUGAACACCCUUCCUGUGAUAAGAAAUGAAGGGCCAGGUGCAGUAACAGACCCCUAUAAUUCUAGCAGCUUUGGAGGCUGAGGCAGGAGGAUCUUUAGUUCAAAGCCAGCCUCAGAAACUGCUAAGUGCUAAG